AACUUUCCAAAAUUCUAAUUUAUCUCUCUCGUCUCUACCCAUGUAUAAAACCAUUACCAUCUCUCGUUAACAAACACAACGGAACCAGAAAGAACAAACCAAACACCCAAACGAAUCACUGCUUCCAGGGCAUUCACUGCAAAAGGUCGGCAACGAGGCUUUGAUCGCAUCGAGUAAGAUUAUAAAGAUGUCGUUUACAAGGAAAGCUAUCCUUAGAAGAACUCAGAAGAAGUGCACAUCAUCACAUUUAAGAAGAAAAUUUGGGCUUCUUGUAAGGCACAAGAAUUGUAUGAAGCGCGCACAAGCCUAUCUCCAAAAUUUGCAGACUAUGCUUAAAUUUCUAAAGCUAAAUGCCUACCUGGAUGAGCUAAAUGACAAGACUGACGUGAUACUUGCCGAGAUGCGAGAGAUAAAAGCCGAACAAUAAGAGUUGAACGCUGAAGAGGAAGAGGUAAUUGCCGAACUGGAAACCACGGAAAGCGAAAUAAAAGAAUUAGAAAAAACAUUUGAAGAUAUGUUGCAGAAACACAUGGAAGAGGCAAUUGCUAGUGACCUGAUGAAUUUACCUGAGGAUAGAGCCCUUACAGAAACUAAAGAAAAUGGCAGCUCUUAGACAUUGAAUAGACAUCAUGGUUGGAGCAAAUCGAUACACACACACAUAUGAACAUUACAUUUGCUUGUGCAAUUUAACGAUUGGAAUUAUAGGAGCAAGGAAUAAUUUGGUAUGAAAUAUUAUCUUGCGUGAUUUGAACUGUUA